rnacentral:rRNA from 1 species
GACGAACGCUGGCGGCGUGCCUAAUACAUGCAAGUCGAGCGAGACUCUUCGGAGUCUAGCGGCGGACGGGUGAGUAACACGUGGGCAACCUGCCUGUAAGACUGGGAUAACACCGGGAAACCGGUGCUAAUACCGGAUAAUCCUUUUCCUCUCAUGAGGGAAAGCUGAAAGUCGGUUUCGGCUGACACUUACAGAUGGGCCCGCGGAGCAUUAGCUAGUUGGUGAGGUAACGGCUCACCAAGGCGGCGAUGCGUAGCCGACCUGAGAGGGUGAUCGGCCACACUGGGACUGAGACACGGCCCAGACUCCUACGGGAGGCAGCAGUAGGGAAUCUUCCACAAUGGACGAAAGUCUGAUGGAGCAACGCCGCGUGAGCGAUGAAGGCCUUCGGGUCGUAAAGCUCUGUUGUUAGGGAAGAACAAGUACCGGAGUAACUGCCGGUACCUUGACGGUACCUAACCAGAAAGCCACGGCUAACUACGUGCCAGCCGCCGCGGUAAUAC